rnacentral:rRNA from 1 species
GACGAACGCUGGCGGCGUGCCUAAUACAUGCAAGUCGAACGCUUCUUUUUCCACCGGAGCUUGCUCCACCGGAAAAAGAGGAGUGGCGAACGGGUGGGUAACACGUGGGUAACCUGCCCAUCAGAAGGGGAUAACACUUGGAAACAGGUGCUAAUACCGCAUAACAAUCAAAACCGCAUGGUUUUGAUUUGAAAGGCUCUUUCGGGUGUCGCUGAUGGAUGUACCCGCGGUGCAUUAGCUAGUUGGUGAGGUAACGGCUCACCACGGCCGCGAUGCACAGCAGACCUGAGAGGGUGAUCGGACACAUUGUGACUGAGACACGGCCCAAACUCCUACGGGAGGCAGCAGUAGGGAAUCUUCGGCAAUGGACGAAAGUCUGACCGAGCAACGCCGCGUGAGUGAAGAAGGUUUUCGGAUCGUAAAACUCUGUUGUUAGAGAAGAACAAGGAUGAGAGUAACUGUUCAUCCCUUGACGGUAUCUAACCAGAAAGCCACGGCUAACUACGUGCCAGCAGCCGCCGUAACAC